rnacentral:rRNA from 1 species
UGGGGAAUAUUGCACAAUGGAGGGAACUCUGAUGCAGCGACGCCGCGUGAGUGAUGAAGGAAUUCGUUUCGUAAAACUCUGUUCUAUGGGAAGAAAAGGACUGUACCAUAGGAGAAAGCUCCGGCUAAAUACGUGCCAGCAGCCGCGGUAAUACGUAUGGAGCGAGCGUUGUCCGGAAUUAUUGGGCGUAAAGGGUGCGCAGGCGGCUUUACAAGUUGGAUGUGAAAUAUUGUGGCUCAACCACAAACGUGCAUCCAAAACUGCAAAGCUUGAGUUAAGGAGAGGUAAGUGGAAUUCCUGGUGUAGCGGUAGAAUGCGUAGAUAUCAGGAGGAAUACCGGUGGCGAAGGCGACUUGCUGGACUUAAACUGACGCUCAGGCACGAAAGCGUGGGGAGCAAACAGG